GCAGUACGCAUGCGCGACAUUACGGACAGCAGUACGCAUGCGCGAGCCAAGAAACGGCAGUACGCAUGCGCGAGUUUCGAGACGGUGGCAGCAGAUACCGUGGCAACAACAACUCCGCCGCCUUUUAGCGGACUGCCUGGGACCGUGGGCGCGCAUCCCCUUCUCUCUUUCUUUUCUUGGCAGAGGAUGGUGGGGGGAAGAAGGGGAGACGACAAAGAAAAGCAAGGAAAACUUCGACAAACCCUCCAACCCCGUGCUAAAUGCUUUGGUAUACCUGUAAAUAAAUGAAUACAUAACC
rnacentral:lncRNA from 7 species